UGUAAGAAAUCUAAAACCUUACAAAGAACCGUCGUCAGAUCCGAAAACCAAUUCUGGGAAUUUCAACCAGAUCCAGCAGACAGGCCAACAUGGGCGUGGAUUUCGGGAGAAAGAUGCUGAAGAUCCCUGCCUGGACACACAAACACACACAAAACCAUGCACUCUCCACCACCACCACCACCACCACCCUGAAGAGGGGAAGAGAAAGAAAUAAAAACCAACUCCAGGGUGCAGGCCGGCCUGCUUCCGGCUGUCUGGAGGCAGACUGACCGCCAUUCUCUCAUCCCCCACCCCCUACCCCCUGUGCCCAGUGUGACGCCAAGCCCAACCUGGAUCUGUUCUGAAAAGGGGGGGGGGGGUUGUGAAAUGCCACAAGAUCAGUAGCAAGUAGCAGCUGCGGCGUUUCUCUCCUGGGAACCCCACUGCUUAGAAGCCUCCCGAGUGAUGUUUGUUUAACCAACAGCUUUCAAAGUAAACAGAGGCCAAGCGCUCCAAAGAAGUUGAAAUAUAACCCUUACAAGAAUUUGGGGCCGCAGCGCUGGCGGAACAAGUAAUUAUUUUAAGCAAUAAAGCUUCCAUCCCCAAUAAGGGUCCACCACGGUGCCCAAAGGAAACUAAAAUCGCCCUAAAGAUAUACAUUCAUCGAAAGGGCUCAUGACAAUAAAAUGACCUCAAAGAGCAUCACCCUUCGUCCACCCACACACCUGCGGGGUCGGUCGUCCGUGAGCGAAGGGGGCACACAACCGGCUCGAUUUGUGGGAAGUGGGCGAAAACCAUCGAAGGGAGGGUACAUUCCCUGCCCCGGGAGUAGAAAAGAGUAGGCUGGGAGCUCUGCGCCGCCAACCCUGGCUUUGCCUCAGGCACCGAACUUUCCAAUAUCAAGAUAUUAACAGAUGGCGGUGAGCACAUGGAGGGCUGUUACUUACAUAAUCCAGCCACUCCGCCCGGCCGCGCCGAGCCCGGCAAGGCGUCCGCCAGGCCGCGCGCGCGCCUCCCGAGGGGGGCUCCUGCACCCCCCCACCCCAGAUAACGUGUCCUUUCUCCAUCCCCGCCCGGCUCUUCGGGGGCUUAGCAUUUGGAGAGGUCGUGCUUUCAGAAAAACAUUCGCAUCGAUCGGGUUGUGCUUUACCGUCUUCAGUGCACCGCGAUGGCAAACCUUUCCUCCAGAAGGAACCAAUGAAACUGCAGGACAAAAAGUUCUAUUCAAGAAGGGAACAAGAAGAAGGGGAAAAAAGAUCAACAGUCCUAGGUCCAACCUCAGGAAUCAUCCUCAACCCUGGAAGGGCAUCCACCUGGGAAGACCUGGAUGGUUGCAGACAAAAGGUGUAUCCUAUUCAUCCACAGCAGUGAAAUCUGAUCUGAACAGCCCUGGGACCAGUCCUGGCUGCCACUCAGACCCUCCUGCUGGCUUCUGGCCUCUCAAGCUCCUCUGUUCUUGA
rnacentral:lncRNA from 1 species